rnacentral:rRNA from 1 species
GGGCGGAGUGUACAAGGCCCGGGAACGUAUUCACCGCGACAUUCUGAUUCGCGAUUACUAGCGAUUCCAGCUUCGUGUAGUCGGGUUGCAGACUACAGUCCGAACUGGGACGUUAUUUUUGAGAUUUGCUCCCCCUCGCAGGCUCGCUUCUCUUUGUUUACGCCAUUGUAGCACGUGUGUAGCCCAAAUCAUAAGGGGCAUGAUGAUUUGACGUCAUCCCCACCUUCCUCCAGGUUAUCCCUGGCAGUCUCCCUAGAGUGCCCAUCUUACUGCUGGCUACUAAGGAUAAGGGUUGCGCUCGUUGCGGGACUUAACCCAACAUCUCACGACACGAGCUGACGACAACCAUGCACCACCUGUCUCCACUGCUCCGAAGAGAAGGACACAUUACUGKCCCGUCAGUGGGAUGUCAAGACUUGGUAAGGUUCUUCGCGUUGCUUCGAAUUAAACCACAUGCUCCACCGGUUGUGCGGGUCCCCGUCAAUUCCUUUGAGGUUCAU